rnacentral:rRNA from 1 species
UACGAAGGGGGCUAGCGUUGCUCGGAAUCACUGGGCGUAAAGGGUGCGUAGGCGGGUCUUUAAGUCAGGGGUGAAAUCCUGGAGCUCAACUCCAGAACUGCCUUUGAUACUGAAGAUCUUGAGUUCGGGAGAGGUGAGUGGAACUGCGAGUGUAGAGGUGAAAUUCGUAGAUAUUCGCAAGAACACCGGUGGCGAAGGCGGCUCUCUGGACCACAACUGACGCUGAGGCGCGAAAGCGUGGGGAGCAAACAGG